UACGUAGGGGGCAAGCGUUGUCCGGAUUUAUUGGGCGUAAAGAGCGUGUAGGCGGCCAUACAGGUCCGUUGUGAAAACUGGAGGCUUAACCUCCAGACGUCGAUGGAAACCGUAUGGCUAGAGUCCGGAAGAGGAGAGUGGAAUUCCUGGUGUAGCGGUGAAAUGCGCAGAUAUCAGGAAGAACACCCGUGGCGAAGGCGGUUCUCUGGGCCGUAACUGACGCUGAGGAGCGAAAGCGUGGGGAGCGAACAGG
rnacentral:rRNA from 1 species